UGGGGAAUAUUGCGCAAUGGGGGAAACCCUGACGCAGCAACGCCGCGUGAAGGAUGAAGGUUUUCGGAUUGUAAACUUCUUUGAUGAGGGACGAUAAUGACGGUACCUCAAAAACAAGCCACGGCUAACUACGUGCCAGCAGCCGCGGUAAUACGUAGGUGGCAAGCGUUGUCCGGAUUUACUGGGUGUAAAGGGCGUGUAGGCGGGGAUGCAAGUCAGAUGUGAAAUUCCGGGGCUCAACCCCGGCGCUGCAUCUGAAACUGUAUCUCUUGAGUGCUGGAGAGGAAAGCGGAAUUCCUAGUGUAGCGGUGAAAUGCGUAGAUAUUAGGAGGAACACCGAUGGCGAAGGCAGGUCUCUGGGCCGCAACUGACGCUGAGGAGCGAAAGCAUGGGGAGCGAACAGG
rnacentral:rRNA from 2 species